AAAAAAAUAUCGGACGGUUUGUACCACGCACCCACUACUCCAACUGCACAAUACGAGAUGGGAGAAGAAAGAACCUCCACUGCAAUGCCUCUGCGUCAUCGUUUACUACCAUUGACCCAAUCUGCCGCGUACUUCCGUAGUUCCUCCGCCGCCAGCGCCUCCCUGCUCGGCGACCACCCCCACACUACCCCGUGCGUCUCUGCCUCAUACUGCGCCCAAAUCUCCCCGUCGAGCUCCGCCGGGAGAUUGCAAUUGCGCCGGUAGGCUUCUCUGCGCUGCGUGCUGGCCGUUGGCCGCCGCCGCCGGCGUCUUAGGCAGCUGCACCUCGGGUGGCCACACCUUGAGUAGUACGUGUAAAAUACCAACGUGUUCUCCGCGCGGGAAGCCACCUCCGCCAGUUCGUCGGGCCAUCACCGUCUCCACCAGUUCCUCCUUUAGUCUGAUGGGAUGGGGAGACAAUCUAGAAGGGGAUGGAUGGCUGCAUCGCUCAAUCGGAGUGGCAGGCGACCAUUGGAGUCCAAUAUGGAUUUAUUAGGCAUAGACAGAAUAGUUUCUUGCCCAAAUCAUAGCUAACGAUUUUAAAUUUGGCUUUGUAUUUCUGUAGAUAUGUGAUCAUAAACAAUCAUCGUGAUGUGUGGACAUUUGUUGCAGUCGAUAGUGGGACAACAACUAUGCUCAAGAUCUCCAAGUUAAAAAAGAAAGGAUGGAUAGAUCAAUCAUCGUUUGCAGUUGGGAUGUAGCAGAGUUUGCACUGUAUAUCUCAUAUAGGGUCUACAGAGUGAGUACAAGACAACAAGGAUAUGCUUGCUGCAGGAGCUAUUGCUUAUCUGAAUGUGGAAUAAUAGGUUUUUGGGCCUGGAGGUUUUUUUCGAAGGAUUUAGCGAGCAAUCCGAUUCUUCUUGGUGGAAGACUUGUGAACAGAGUCACAGCCACGAAAAUUCACAUAAAAAAAGGUAAUACAAAUCAAUCCAAGUCCAAACAUAAUUGCAUGAGUGUAGCUUUCAAAUUUCCAAUUCAAACAUCAGCUUUCUUCAUGAUAGACGCUGCGUCCAAAUAAGUGGGGCCUAAAUACAAACACCAACAAACUCACUUAAAGUUAGAGAAAUCAACGACUGAUUGAUGAUGGCAUAGUGAGACUUCAGCGCCAAGGCCUUGCUGGAGGCCGAGUGGGGCCUGUAGAUGGGUUAACCGAAGUGGAGCUGGAGCCUUGAGCCAAUGCCAUGGCAAACCGCUAGACAGCAGCACUAGCACCAGCCGCGCCGCCGGAACCCUCGUCCACCGUCGGCCCGUUGUCAGCGCCUGCAAUGGCAACCACUGCCACAAUCCAGUCAGUCAAACGUGAACUUCUGUUCAGCGUUGAUCGUGGAUGUGGUAAAAAAAGUAUGUCCCUGCCUGAUUCCUCACAUUCUCCCUCAUUCUCAUCUUCGCGCCGCUGCCAUGCUCGUUGCUGUCACUUGCCCUCGCGUAGUUGCGAUUAUUGCCUCUUGGCCUUGUGCUGUGGAAGAAGCCAGCAGGCGCCAUCAGUACGCCCACGCCGUUCAGCGCGAGUUCUAGGUCGAGCAAGGUGUAGGCACUGUUGUUCUUGCAGCUUAACGCCUACUAUAUUGCAGCAUUUUUUUUUCAAAAUUCUAGGUACCUCAAGCUAUUAUAUUUCUUCUUUUCAUCAUUCCCCUUGGUAUUUCCUGCCGUGUUAGUGUUUUCUUCGAAGGAUUUAGCGAGCAAUCCGAUUCUUCUUGGCAGGUUAGCAAAGGUUUUAGAAGAGAUGUAUGUAGUUUUAUACUAUUUAUAAGCACCCUUUAAGAUACUUCAUCCUUUGAUCUGUGGCAAGUUUCGGUUAUGAUUUACAUAAAAAAAUACGUAUCUGUCUGUUUUUAAGCACCGUAUAAGAUACUUGUAAAAUAUUACCUGGUACCAUACUAUUUGACCAUGAAAAGAUUCCCCCUGAAGAAGUGAGAAGUGAGAACACUUUCGAAUUUCUUGUACAUUUUAUAGGGGCUAUGCAAUACAGUAUGUCCUCGUCGUCGUCUGGUCUGCGUGGUUGUUCAUUUGCUCCCACGCCUACACUGCGGCCACAUUAUUCAAUCACCUCAGGUGUGUCUUUGUUCUUCCAUUGGUUUGUACAUGAAUUUCCACAAUCAUUUUCUAUGGAUCUAGGGAAACGCCUGCCUGCCUUUCAGAUUCAAUGUAAGUAAACAUGGUGGGUGCUGUGGAGAUGAGUCGUGGUUACAGGUUUCUGUUGCAAAACAUUCUGUGCCAUUACUGAACUUGUCGCCUCAUGUGACUUGAGCUAUGGAAAUUGUGAUCAAAUUUAAUACUAUUACUGCAAGUUCAAUGCCUUGUGUAAAUUGAGUUAUCACGGCUGUGAGCUGCAUGACCAAGAAAAUUUAUCAUUCGUAUGCAGCUGCGUGUACGGUUGUUGGUUCUCUCCAUUUCUUAGUUCAUAGCCACUAAUUUGUAAUUUUUGUUUAUAAAUCUAUAGCAAACUAGCUUCUCUGAAGAUGUCAUGGAACAUUUUAAUACUUCAAUUUUCUUGGCAUUUCACACCUUGGCUUUUGUAACUCAGGUGUUACAUGACUGAAGUUACAAUGAUAAAUCUUUUGAAAUUUGUUAGUUGGCA